UNCAAAGAAAGGCACGUUUACAGGUUAGG
rnacentral:piRNA from 1 species